AGGGAUAUAGCUCAGUGGUAGAGCCCCUGCUUAGCAUGCGUGAGAUCUUGGGUUCAAUCCCCAGUUCCUCCA
rnacentral:tRNA from 1 species